GACGAACGCUGGCGGCGUGCCUAAUACAUGCAAGUCGAACGAAGCUGUUUUAACUGGUGCUUGCACCGACUUAAACAACUGAGUGGCGAACGGGUGAGCAACACGUGGGUAACCUGCCCCAAAGCGGGGGAUAACAUUUGGAAACAGAUGCUAAUACCGCAUAACCACAGAAACCACAUGGUUUCUGUGUUAAAGAUGGUUUCGGCUACCAUUCUGGGAUGGACCCGCGGCGUAUUAGCUAGUUGGUAGGGUAAUGGUUUACCAAGGCAAUGAUACGUAGCCGAACUGAGAGGUUGAUCGGCCACAUUGGGACUGAGACACGGCCCAAACUCCUACGGGAGGCAGCAGUAGGGAAUCUUCCACAAUGGACGAAAGUCUGAUGGAGCAACGCCGCGUGAGUGAAGAAGGUUUUCGGAUCGUAAAACUCUGUUGUCAGAGAAGAACGUGUGCGAGAGUAACUGCUCGUGCAGUGACGGUAUCUGGCCAGAAAGCCACGGCUAACUACGUGCCAGCCGCCGCCGUAA
rnacentral:rRNA from 1 species